GCCAGGCGUGGUGGUGCAUGACUGUAAUCCCAGGUACUCGGGAGGCUGAGGCAGGAGAAUUGCUUCAAACCGGCAGGUGGAGGUUGCAGUGAGCCGAGAUUGUGCCACUGCACUCCAGCCUGGGCAACAAGAGUGAGACACUCCGUCUCAAAAAAACAAAAACAAAAACAAAAAACCAAUAAAAAGCAAUUUGAGACGGAGUCUUGCUCUAUUGCCCAGGCUGGAGUGCAGUGGCGCAAUCUUGGCUCACUGCAAGCUCUGCCUCCCAGGUUCAUGCCAUUCUCUUGCCUCA
rnacentral:sRNA from 1 species